UAACAAGGAUUCCCCUAGUAACUGCGAGUGAAGCGGGAAAAGCUCAAAUUUAAAAUCUGGCGGUCUUUGGCCGUCCGAGUUGUAAUCUAAAGAAGUGUUAUCCGCGCUGGACCGUGUACAAGUCUCCUGGAAUGGAGCGUCAUAGAGGGUGAGAAUCCCGUCUUUGACACGGACUGCCAGGGCUUUGUGAUGCGCUCUCAAAGAGUCGAGUUGUUUGGGAAUGCAGCUCAAAAUGGGUGGUAAAUUCCAUCUAAAGCUAAAUAUUGGCGAGAGACCGAUAGCGAACAAGUACCGUGAGGGAAAGAUGAAAAGAACUUUGGAAAGAGAGUUAAACAGUACGUGAAAUUGCUGAAAGGGAAACGCUUGAAGUCAGUCGCGUUGUCUGGGGAUCAACCUUGCUUCUGCUGGGCGUACUUUCCAGAUAACGGGUCAGCAUCAAUUUUGACCGUUGGAUAAAGUCUGGAGGAAUGUGGCAUCUUCGGAUGUGUUAUAGCCUCUAGUUGCAUACAACGGUUGGGAUUGAAGAACUCAGCACGCCGCAAGGCCGGGUACUUGUACCACGUUCGUGCUUAGGAUGCUGGCAUAAUGGCUUUAAUCGACCCGUCUUGAAACACGGACCAAGGAGUCUAACAUGCCUGCCAGUAUUUGGGUGGAAAACCCGAGUGCGUAAUGAAAGUGAAAGUUGAGAUCCUUGUCAUGGGGAGCAUUGACGCCCGGACCAGACCUUUUGUGACGGAUCUGCGGUAGAGCAUGUAUGUUGGGACCCGAAAGAUGGUGAACUAUGCCUGAAUAGGGUGAAGCCAGAGGAAACUCUGGUGGAGGCUCGUAGCGAUUCUGACGUGCAAAUCGAUCGUCAAAUUUGGGUAUAGGGGCGAAAGACUAAUCGAACCAU
rnacentral:rRNA from 1 species